GACGAACGCUGGCGGCGUGCUUAACACAUGCAAGUCGAACGGAAAGGCCCUGCUUUUGUGGGGUGCUCGAGUGGCGAACGGGUGAGUAACACGUGAGUAACCUGCCCUUGACUUUGGGAUAACUUCAGGAAACUGGGGCUAAUACCGGAUAGGAGCUCCUGCUGCAUGGUGGGGGUUGGAAAGUUUCGGCGGUUGGGGAUGGACUCGCGGCUUAUCAGCUUGUUGGUGGGGUAGUGGCUUACCAAGGCUUUGACGGGUAGCCGGCCUGAGAGGGUGACCGGCAACAGGAGGACGGAGUGUCGGACGAGACAGGGCAGGGGGGAAGGAGGGGGGAAUACUGAAGACUGGGGGGAAGGGGGAGGAGGAGCGGACGCGUGAGGGAUGACGGCAGUAGGUAUGUAACGAGGCUCAGCAAGGGAAGGGGCGGGAGGGAAGGUAAUGAGGAAAGAAGAACCAGCUAACCACGUGCGAGCGGAAGCGGUAACAGUAUGAAGAGCAAACGUCUAAAC
rnacentral:rRNA from 1 species